AGUAAAGAAGUGCUCAGGAAAAUAAUGAGGGCAUGUUGAAAGGACGCAGCUGACUUGAAGGUGCUCCCAAUCACCAAAGCUGGGACAGUUUGAGCAAUGAAAUAAAUAAUGGCGGAAUUGGGUUGUAAACCAUGGAAUAAUAAAUGAGUCUACUAAUAUAAAUAUUUGAAUAUGUAAAUAUGUGGGGGGAAACAAAAUAGCUCUUUCUUUUCUUUUUUUGAGAUGGAGUCUCUCUCUGUUGCCCAGACUGGAGUGCAGCAGUGCAAUCUUGGCUCACUGCAACCUUCACCUCCCAGGUUCAAGAGAUUCUCCUGCCCCAGCCUCCUGAGUAGUUGGGAUUACAGGCACUUGCCACCAUGCCCAGCUAAUUUUUGUAUUUUUUAUAGAGAUGGGGUUUCACCAUGAUGGCCAGACUGG
rnacentral:lncRNA from 10 species